rnacentral:tRNA from 1 species
GGGGGUGUAGCUCAAUGGUAGAGCACCUGCUUAGCAAGUAGGAGGCCCUGGGUUCAAUCCCCAACAUACACA